rnacentral:rRNA from 1 species
CCAGGUGGGUGGGUGUAAGUGCACCAAGGCGCGCGAGAGAGACCUCUCUAAGGAACUCGGCACAUUAGCCCCGUAACUUCGGGAAAAGGGGUGCUCGCUUCGGCGAGCCACAGUAAAUUGCGUUUAGCGACUGUUUAACAAAAACACAGCACUCUGCCACGUCGUUAAGACAACGUAUAGGGUGUGACAAGUGACCAAUGCGGAAAGAUCAAGGCAAGGGGUUAGCCGCAAGGCGAAGCUCUGAACCUAAGUCCCCGUGAAUGUCGGCCGUAACUAUAACGGUCCUAAGGUAGCGAAAUUCCUUGUCGGGUAAGUUCCGACCUGCACGAAUCUUGUAACGACUGAACGACUGUCUCGGAGAGGUUCUCGGCGAAACUGUAACGGCGGUGAAGAUGCCGCCUGCCCGCAGUAGGACGGAAAGACCCUAUGCACCUUUACUGUAAGCUCGUAUUGGCUUCUGGUUGAUGAUGCUUAGCGUAGGUGGGAGACUUUGAAGGCAUGGCUUCGGUUGUGCUGGAGUCGAAAUGUGAAACACCACUCUUUGCCAACUAGGAGUCUAACCUCGAUCCCGUUAGCCGGGCGAGGGACAGUGCGUGCGGGUCAGUUUGGCUGGGGCGGCUUCCUCCCAAAUGGUAACGGAGGAGCGCGAAGCUGGGCUCAGCAUGGUUGGCAACCAUGCGUCGAGCGUAUGGGUAGAAGCCCGGUUAACUGCGAGACCAACAAGUCAAGCAGAUGCGAAAGCAGGCCCAAAUGAUCCGAUGGUUGAAUGUGGAAUUGCCAUCGCUCAACGGACAAAAGGUACGCUAGGGAUAACAGGCUGAUCGGGACCAAGAGUUCACAUCGACGUCCCGGUUUGGCACCUUGAUGUCGGCUCAUCGCAUCCUGGGGCUGGAGAAGGUCCCAAGGGUCCGGCUGUUCGCCGGUUAAAGCGGUACGCGAGCUGGGUUCAGAACGUCGUGAGACAGUUCGGUCCUUAUCCACUGUGGGCGGAGGAAACUUGAGGGGUUCAUUCCUUAGUACGAGAGGACCGGGAAUGACGCACUUCUGGUGUGGCAGUUGUCGUGUCAACGGCAGCGCUGCGUAGCCACGUGCGGAAGGGAUAAGCGCUGAAAGCAUCUAAGUGCCAAGCCCAUCCCAAGAUAUGGUUUCCCGGACGCAAAUCCCUGAAGACACCAAGCAGACUACUUGGUUGAUAGGCUGGGCGUGCAAGCUCCGUGAGGAGUUUAGCGGACCAGUACUAAUCAGUCGUGAGGCUUGAUUGC